rnacentral:other from 1 species
CGCUAUCAUCAUUAUUUUCAUUAUUACCUUCAUUAUCGAAAGAUAAUUUCUAUACCUUUUAACCGGCUUAUGGCCGGUUUUUAUU